rnacentral:ncRNA from 14 species
ACCUUAUCAAGAGAGGCUGAGGGAUAGGCCCUGUGAAGCCCAGCAACCACCCAAAUGGGAAAAGGUGCUAAUUCCUACAAGACAAAAGUCUUGAAAGAUGAGGU